GACAUGGGGGCGAAAAAGGGAAAGAGGGGGAUGGGGUUUCUCUCGCUUUUGACAUAGCGGGCCCCGGCGGGA
rnacentral:tRNA from 1 species